GACGAACGCUGGCGGCGUGCCUAACACAUGCAAGUCGAACGGGACCCGCAAGGGUUCAGUGGCGAACGGGUGCGUAACACGUGAAGAAUCUGUCUAUCGGCGGGGGAUAGCCGGCCCAACGGCCGGGUAAUACCGCGUACGCUCGCGAGGGGGCAUCCCCAUGCGAGGAAAGCAGCAAUGCACCGAUAGAGGACUUCGCGGCCUAUCAGCUAGUUGGCGGGGUAAUGGCCCACCAAGGCAACGACGGGUAGCUGGUCUGAGAGGAUGACCAGCCACAUUGGGACUGAGACACGGCCCAGACUCCUACGGGAGGCAGCAGUGGGGAAUAUUGCGCAAGUGGGGGAAACCCUGACGCAGCGACGCCGCGUGUGGGAUGACGGCC
rnacentral:rRNA from 1 species